rnacentral:rRNA from 1 species
CCUACGGGGGGCAGCAGUGAGGAAUAUUGGUCAAUGGGCGAGAGCCUGAACCAGCCAAGUCGCGUGAGGGAAGACGGCCCUACGGGUUGUAAACCUCUUUUGUCAGGGAGCAAGAACGGAUACGUGUAUCCGAGCGAGAGUACCUGAAGAAAAAGCAUCGGCUAACUCCGUGCCAGCAGCCGCGGUAAUACGGAGGAUGCGAGCGUUAUCCGGAUUUAUUGGGUUUAAAGGGUGCGUAGGCGGGCUGCCAAGUCAGCGGUAAAAUUGCGGGGCUCAACCCCGUCGAGCCGUUGAAACUGGCGGUC